rnacentral:rRNA from 1 species
GAUUAACGUACUUGUACUGAUUGAGAUUUUAACACGAAGUGAGUGGCGAACGGGUGAGUAACACGUGGGUAACCUGCCCAGAAGUAGGGGAUAACACCUGGAAACAGAUGCUAAUACCGUAUAACAGAGAAAACCGCAUGGUUUUCUUUUAAAAGAUGGCUCUGCUAUCACUUCUGGAUGGACCCGCGGCGUAUUAGCUAGUUGGUGAGGUAAAGGCUCACCAAGGCAGUGAUACGUAGCCGACCUGAGAGGGUAAUCGGCCACAUUGGGACUGAGACACGGCCCAGACUCCUACGGGAGGCAGCAGUAGGGAAUCUUCCACAAUGGACGCAAGUCUGAUGGAGCAACGCCGCGUGAGUGAAGAAGGGUUUCGGCUCGUAAAGCUCUGUUGUUAAAGAAGAACGUGGGUAAGAGUAACUGUUUACCCAGUGACGGUAUUUAACCAGAAAGCCACGGCUAACUACGUGCCAGCAGCCGCGGUAAUACGUAGGUGGCAAGCGUUAUCCGGAUUUAUUGGGCGUAAAGCGAGCGCAGGCGGUCUUUUAAGUCUAAUGUGAAAGCCUUCGGCUCAACCGAAGAAGUGCAUUGGAAACUGGGAGACUUGAGUGCAGAAGAGGACAGUGGAACUCCAUGUGUAGCGGUGAAAUGCGUAGAUAUAUGGAAGAACACCAGUGGCGAAGGCGGCUGUCUGGUCUGCAACUGACGCUGAGCUCGAUAGCAUGGGUAGCGAACAGGAUUAGAUACCUGGUAAUCCAUGCCGUAAACGAUGAUUACUAAGUGUGAGGUUUCCGCCCUAAUGCUCAGCUAACGCAUUAAGUGAUCCGCCGGGGAGUACGACCGCAAGGUUAAAACUCAUAAG